AAUGAACGUUGGCGGCGUGGAUUAGGCAUGCAAGUCGUGCGAGAACCGUAGCAAUACGGGGACAGCGGCGUAAGGGAGAGGAAUACGCGGGUACCUACCCUCGGAUCUGGGAUAGCUACGGGAAACUGUAGGUAAUACCAGAUGACGUCUUCGGACCAAAGGUGUGAUUCCGUCCGGGGAGGGCCCACGUCCUAUUAGCUUGUUGGUGAGGUAACGGCUCACCAAGGCUGAGAUGGGGUAUGGGGUGUGAGAGCAUGAUCCCACUCACUGGGACUGAGACACUGCCCAGACACCUACGGGUGGCG
rnacentral:rRNA from 1 species